UGCUUUUGCGUUUAAAUGGGUGUGGUGCUAAGUAUAUCUUGUUUAUCUUUCUGUGGAAAAAAGGUUUAGAAGUCUGGUGGUUUGUCACAUCGUGUCUGUUGCCUAGUGCCAUCAAGGGUGUUCCUAUCUAGCAACAGAGGCUGGGUGAUCGGUGGAGUUUGUUGGUUGGC
rnacentral:lncRNA from 1 species